rnacentral:rRNA from 1 species
UACGGGGGGAGCAAGCGUUGUUCGGAUUUACUGGGCGUAAAGGGCGCGUAGGCGGCCUCUGCAAGUCGACUGUGAAAUCUCCGGGCUUAACCCGGAAAGGUCAGCCGAUACUGCAGGGCUAGAGUGCAGAAGGGGCAACUGGAAUUCUCGGUGUAGCGGUGAAAUGCGUAGAUAUCGAGAGGAACACCUGCGGCGAAGGCGGGUUGCUGGGCUGACACUGACGCUGAGGCGCGAAAGCCAGGGGAGCGAACGGG